GAGGAAAGCCCUUUUCUAUUUCCAGCAGGACACACCUAGCAAUAGAUGUGACAUUCAGCACUGCCCAGGUUUCUUCCACUUGGAGGAGGCAAACUGGUAAAUGGAAGGAGGCAAUCCUCUGGCAGUGGGAUGCUAGGGAGCGAUAAUAAGGCAAGUUUGAUUGUUUGAAGGCUGCUGGUAUCCAGGGCUGGAAGCUGGUGGACGUCUCAUGAUGGACCUAACAGUAACUUCUGGCACAAUGGGACACCAUGACAGGAGCCAGAGUGCACAGAAAUGCUGUUUACCUUCCUGUCACAGCGGUACCUAUUUAUCUACUUGCUUUCGAACUGCUAGGUUGGCAGGAGCUGGGACAGAGCAAUGGGAGCUCACCCCAUCACAGGGAUUCAAACCGCCAACCUUCUGAUCAGCAAGCCCAAGAGGCUCAGUGGUUUAGAGCACAGCGCCACCUGCGUCCCCAUAUAUAUGCCCUAUAUCUAUCUGUCUAUCCUCUCUCUCUCUCUCUCUCUCUCUCUCCUCUAUCUAUCUAUCAUCUAUCUAUCUAUAUCUAUAUCUAUAUCUAUAUCUAUAUCUAUAUCUAUAUCUAUAUCUAUAUCUAUAUCUAUAUCUAUCUAUCUAUCUAUCUAUCUAUCUAUCUAUCUAUCUAUCUAUCUUCUAUGCCCUAAAUCAGGAGUAAGGAAUCUCAGACUGUAAGGGGAUGCAGUCCUUUAGACCUUUCUAAAUACAGUGGUACCUUGGUUUACGAACUUAAUCCAUUCUGGAAGUCCGUUCUUAAACCAAAACCAUUCUUAAACCGAGGCGCGCUUUCCCUAAUGAGGCCUCCCGCCGCCGGUGCCCUUCCACCAUUUGGAUUCCAUUCUUAGACUGAGGUAAAGUUCGCAAACCAGGACACUACUUCCGGUUUUGCAGAGUUCAGAAACCGAAUCGUUCGUAAACAGGAACCGAAGUACCACUGUACUUGAAACUCUACCUGGGUCGUGCCCCUUCCUUGGGAUGCAUACCCUUUAUGUUGGCACACCCUUCACCAGUGUUGUUCCCUGCUUCUCAAAGUCCUUUUGCCUGGCUGGAAUGCAUCUCGCUUGAGUAAGAUUGCAAGAUUUGUGCAUAGAAACCAUCGGCUUUUGCAUGGCUGGACCGUAGCCAACUCAAAGGCAUUGUUCCGUCCACAUUUGCUUCUGGGCUCAGCUGCCACUCCCAUGUGGCCCUUGGAACAUUCUCCAGGUGGGAAUGUGGCUCCCAGGAGGUGAAAAAUGUUCCUCACCUCUGCCCUAGACCAUUUAUUGUAUGGGUUGUAGAUAAAUGCCUCUGCACUUUUGAGCAUGUGAGGGUCUUCUGGGCAAACGGAAGCUUAGAUGCAUGAGCUAAACUGAACAUCUGCACACAGUUAGUGUGCUUGAUAUUAAGCAUUUAUUAACUCCAGGCUGGGCCUUUAUCAUCAUCCCCUUACUAGUUGCUCAAAGCAUUUGUGAGCAUUGUUCUGGUUGUUUAGUCGUUUAGUCGUGUCCGACUCUUCGUGACCCCAUGGACCAGAGCACGCCAGGCACUCCUGUCUUCCACUGCCUCCCACAGUUUGGUCAAACUCAUGCUGGUAGCUUCAGGAACACUAUCCAAUCAUCUCGUCCUCUGUCGUCCCCUUCUCCUUCUCCUUGUGCCCUCCAUCUUUCCCAACAUCAGGGUCUUUUCCAGGGAGUCUUCUCUUCUCAUGAGGUGGCCAAAGUAUUGGAGUCUCAGCUUCAUGAUCUGUCCUUCCAGUGAGCACUCAGGGCUGAUUUCCUUAAGAAUGGAUAGGUUUGAUCUUCUUGCAGUCCAUGGGACUCUCAAGAGUCUCCUCCAGCACCAUAAUUCAAAAGCAUCAAUUCUUCGGUGAUCAGCCUUCUUUAUGGUCCAGCUUUCACUUCCAUACAUCACUACUGGGAAAACCAUAGCUUUAACUAUACGGACCUUUGUUGGCAAGGUGAUGUCUCUGCUUUUUAAGAUGCUGUCUAGGUUUGUCAUUGCUUUUUCCCCAAGAAGCAGGCGUCUUUUAAUUUCGUGGCUGCUGUCACCAUCUGCAGUGAUCAUGGAGCCCAAGAAAGUAAAAUCUCUCACUGCCUCCUUUUCUUCCCCUUCUAUUUGUGAGCAUACUGGGCUCCAAAUUCUUACAUCAAACCAAACAUCAGUCUACUCAUCAUAUACUCAAUAGAUGUGUGCUGUUGACCUCUGGCAGAACCUCACAAGACUUAAUUUGAUGCAUUUACCAGUUUUAAUAUAAUUGUAAUGUUUUUGAUUUUUAUUUUCCUGUAAUUCGUAACAGCCGAAAUGCAAUGAUUUCAUUUCUUGAAAGGUAGAAGAAAAGUCUGAAAUCUUUAUAAUGGCUAAAAUAUGUAACUUUAUGGUACAGUUUUAAAAACAAUAAUCAUGAGAUACCAAAUAUCCAUGUGCCAGCCAGACAGUAAAAUGCUAAAUUAUGAGCUUUUAGCCACAGAGAAUGAAAACAGGAGAUUUACUGUCUGGCUGAGAGAUUUUCUCCUUGAGAUAACUGCCAGGAGGGGGCGGGGAAACAUUCUGAAUGCAUCUACUCCCCCCACCCUUAACUUUUAAAGAUAAAUGAUGGACGGCAUUUGGUCAGCUUAAGAAUGUGGAAAGAUCCGUCACCCCAGCACUGAAAUGACAUUUUAAAUGAAUUACAUUGGAGGAAUUGUGUAGAUGUUUGUUUGUUUUUAAAGAAUACCUCUCUGCUAUGCUGAAGUCACAUUUUUAACAUGCUUCUCGGGCAAUAGCUAUAUUUUUUAAAGGUAGCAUGAAAUCAUAGAUCAGCCGUAACAAAAUGUGUUACAAAACAAUGAGACUGACAGCUCUUCAUUGUGUCUCUCAGUAACCAAUGAGUUUACAGCAAGGAAGGAUAAAAUUCAAGGAGUAGCAAUUUAGAAAUUAUGCUAAAUCCUGGCAAAUUGCUAACAUUUCUUAAUUGCUAUAUAAAUCGUCAGAAGGGAUGAUUAUGUUUAAAUCCACUCAUUAAGUACGUAUGCAUGCUGCUUAGGAAUAAUUAUAUUGUUCCAAAUUCUCUUCCAUUUAUAUGGUGUUUGAGAAUUUUAAAUACUAACCCCUCUGCCAGAAGACUAUCAUUUCAUAUAUGAUGUCCAAGAUCUGCUCCUUAGACACUAAGAUAUGCAAUUUCAUGAGUUUCACAGUCAAAUAAAACCAACAAAGAAGAACAGUGCUCAUCUACAUUUAAUUUUAAUGUAACCAUUGGGACAAAAGGCAUACUGAUAAUUAAGAGUCAAGAUACUUUGCUGACUCAGUUGCCAAUGAUUUUCCAAAGUAGUACUGCAUGAACUGUCUGCAACAUUAUCACCCUCUCUUUUGCCCACGGCACCACUAAAUUUACUCUAGGGGUUCUGACUCUUUGAAGCACUUCUGGGGGUGACAUGGGGCAUGGACCGGGGGGGGGGAUGGGAGACAAGAAAGGGAACUUUCCGUUGUGCAAGUGCAAAUCUAACACAAUGAGUGAAUUUGAUGCCGCGCUAGGUUUUCAAAUAUGCUUCCUAUUUUUUUCUGAAAUAAACUAUAAACCACAUGUUAACAUCUGAACAACUUUCACAGUUGCAAAUGUCCAUUCUUUGUGUGGAUCUGAUAUCAAACUGUUGUGUAGUGGUUCAGAGCGGUGGACUCGUAAUCUGGUGAACCGGGUGGUUCACGUCUCUGCUCCUCCACAUGCAGCUGCUAGGUGACCUUAGGCUAGUCACACUUCUCUGAAGUCUCUCGGCCUCACUCACCUCACAGAGUGUUUGUUGUGGGGGAGGAAGGGAAAGGAGAUUGUUAGUCGCUUUGAGACUCCUUAGGGUAGGGAUAAAGCGGGAUAUCAAAUCCAAACUCCUCCUCCUCUUCUUCAUUUACAUGGGUAAGAGGUCCCAUAGUGUUUGAAUAGGGAAGUAUGCAAAAAAACAAAACAAAACAAUACCCUAUACAGUGGUACCUCAGGUUACAUACGCUUCAGGUUACAGACUCCGCUAACUCAGAAAUAGUGCUUUAGGUUAAGAACUUUGCUUCAGGUUGAGAACAGAAAUCGUGCUCCAGCAGUGCAGCAGCAGCAGGAGGCCCCAUUAGCUAAAGUGGUGCUUCAGGUUAAGAACAGUUUCAGGUUAAGUAUGGACCUCCAGAACGAAUUAAGUACUUAACCCAAGGUACCACUGUACAUAACACAUCAGGUAAAGGCUGAGCCCUUUGUCUCUGACGGGAAGGAGUAUUUUAUGAGUAUUUUUAAAAGUAUUUGCUAGUAAUAUGGCAUGUGGGAGUAAUAAUGUAGGAAUUGUGGCAUUAGCUUGAGGGAUGCUGCCAACACAUUGUUGUGUUGGUCAAACUAGUCAACACCAGUACUAGCAGCUGUGCAGAGUAAACAUUUGGAUUCUGCAACUUUUGUGUUUAGAAACCUAAUCUUGGAGGGGGGGAGGUCCCCUCAACUUCCCCUUGGCUGUAACUUCCUUCUAUUUUUUUAAAAAUAGAAAUAAUCUCUGUAUCUUUGUGCAUGCAGUCUUGGACUGGGGAGGUGUAGCCUGGUGCAUCCUAUUUCACAACUGCUAAGAAGAACAACAAAAAUCACAUUUCAGGGUUAAGCUCCUCAUGUUUUUCAAAGCUUUUCAGUGUCAUUGAAGGUCUGCUUGCACAACAGAAUCCUGCUCAAAGAAAGAGGAGUUCCCCUGCUUCUCCUUCCUCAUGCAUUACUUGCAUGUCCCCAAAAAGCUUCUCUAGAGGAGGGCUAGGGCAGCCUCCAGAAAAACUGGGGGGUGGGAGGCUAUUGGAGGGGGGAAGAGAGGAAGGGGAAGUCCCAUUGCACCCAAACGUGUGAUAUUUGACAGUGAUGGAUUGCUUAAGGUAAAUAUAUUUGCUUUGGGUGGUUUAAGCUUAAAAUAAAUCUUGACUUUAGAAAGAAGGAAGUACAGAGAUAAACAUGCCUCUGGUGCAGGAUCUGACAGCACAAAUAGAGUGAGAUUGUGGGUUGAGUUGUAUAUAUACUAAGCUGGAUGCAGGAUUGUGGCAUCCUGACCCAACCUGUUAUGUACUGAAGUUCUCACCCUGGGCCAGCAGGGGGAUACUAUAGAUAGUUUUCACUCAGGUCCACAUAUGCAAAUAAGGAAUUGAAAGUGACGUUCAGUGAUUGGAUAGUUACAGAAAGUUGUUACUGUUGCAUUGUAGUUGAGCUCUAUAUAAGCAGGCUGGCUGAACCCUUCAGCUCAGUUCUGUUCUGGCCUGUGAAUAAAGAAGAGCUGUGUCAUCUGAUAUGUUCACCCACAACUUAACAGAACCCACGUUUGCUGUGCAAUCACUCAAGCAUACUUUUAUAUGUUUUACAUGUACAGUGGAACCUCAGUUUUUGAGCGUCUCAGAAGCCAAACAUUUCGGAACCCGAACACCGAAAACCUGGAAGUAAAUGCUUCCGUUUUCGAAUGCGCCUCGGAAGUCAAACAGCUUCCACUGCGUGUUUUUCAAUUUUCUCAAUGGAAAUUCUUCCGGAACGGAUUACGUUCGACAGCUGAGGUUCUACUGUAUACUUAUAAAUGAUAUUAUAUUUUUACUGUUUUGAUUGUUAGCUAUGAAGAAAAGACACCUAUGCUCUUGUACUCUCCAAAAUGCCAGGUACACUGAUGCUACUAUACAAGCAGACAAAUAAAACUCAUGAAGCUUUAUGCUAGCACACUAAACCGGGACUGAGCAUUGUGUUGUAAGUAGCCGAGGCGCUAAAACUCAGGCCUGAUAUUCUCAGUGCCAAUAGUGUCAUGUGAACAGGCUCUCAGAUGCUUAGCCUACUGUUAUUAAUGGGACCUGUCCAAAACACCAGAGGCUUAACAUGGUUUAAGGGCUUUCUAUUGACCCUCAACUCUGUUCCAAACAUUCUGUCCUGUAGCCUCUGGUACUAUGGGAAAAGAUCAAUAGGAACUAAAAAUACUUCCUCCCUUUUUGUCUCAGAAUAAACUGCUAAAUUUUUAUUAGUAUUUAAUUUUGAAUACAUAUCUCUAACACUACUAAAAUAAAAAGUCGUAAUGUUUAAUUUUGUUAUGACUAUAUUGAGGAGAAAUCAAAUUUCUGAGCAGUAUGAGAUCCCAGCUCUGCAUGUAAGCCAGUAAUUGUUCAACAGGCAGGGAUGAAAAGGGUGACGAAAUCAUCUGCUCCCCAUUCCCAAUAAUUUAUCAGAGCUAUUCAGACUUUGCAGGACAGUACAUGUACUGAUUGGCUAGUGAUCAGGUAGGAAGGGAGAAGUCAGUGUGGAAGCCAUUUGUGUGCAAGAUUCCUUAUUUAGCUAGGAAGAUACUCAUAUUUUAUUCCAGUUCCCUGCUGUUUCCCUAACUGUUAAUUUCAGCAUUGUAUUUGAGAUUCACACAAUGUCCAUGCCACUUUUAGGAAACUAAUGGAAUAUACUGCAUUUUUAGCACUCAUUUUCAUGUUAUUGGAUUUUGUGGGGCUGUGGCGGCAGGGAAUCCUUUUGUAGUCCCCUCAACCUGGAAAGGGACAUGGGUGGCGCUGUGGGUUAAACCACAGAGCCUAGGACUUGCUGAUCAGAAGGUUGGCAGUUCGAAUCCCUGCGAUGGGGUGAGCUCCCGUUGCUCUGUCCCUGCUCCUGUCAACAUAGCAGUUAGAAAGCAUGUCAAAGCGCAAGCAGAUAAAUAGAUACCGCUUUGGCAGGAAGGUAAACGGCAUUUUCAUGCGCUGGUCUGGUUCACCAGAAGCGGCUUAGUCAUGCUGGCCACAUGACCCGGAAGCUGUACGCCUUUUGCGUUAUAAUUACAUUUCCGUGCACCUAAUGAGGUCUGCAAAAGCUUUCUUGCUUUCAUCUUUUCCCAUCCUUCCUACAGUGAUAAGACUCCAUUGUGUCAUUUUCCUGUCACUUACGCAUGUGAUUUUGCUGUGCAUUUUGGCUUUCCAGCACGAAGGCAAGACAUAACUGAGUUUAGUAUCUUAGUAAUGUAGAAAGUGGCAGAAGGGGGGGGGGAGAGAUCUGAUUUAAGGGGAAACUCGUGUCAGUAAGGAGUGUGGAAACCUGACUAAUCACCUGCAGCUCCUCUCCCAGUUAACUUGCCUUAAUUGCAUUUUGAGAUUUGGGGAGAGAGAUUAUGAAUCACUGGACCCAAGUUCAGUAAAGAGGCUUUCAGCUUGCAGACUCACUAAUGAAGCUUUGCAAAAAUUUCCGGGGAGGUAGGCAUUAUUCCAGUAUUACACAUGAAUAAUCUGAAGUCCUGAGAGCUUAAGUAUGAUCUCAAAGCAAUUGGAGUGGCAUGCCGAGACCAGAAGUCACACACACAUCCUUUCUGAAACUGCACAGAAUUGCAAACACAAGCUGCAUGAACCAGAUUGGCAAACAUGUUAUCUGGAGGGGAGGUGGAGAAAUGAGCUAAAAAACGCCACUGUGCCAACAGUCUGAUCCACAACCGGAACUAGAAAUCAGCUGUCUGUGGUAACUCAGACUGAUUCAUAGCCAUGCAUGUUGCUUGCUUACUCUUGGUGAUGGUAGUUCAAUUGAGCCUUGGGAAUUAAUUAGCUAGGUGCAAAUUAAUUGGUUCACAAACAAUGGCCUCUUCAGAAUUUGAAUAUGUGUUUCCCCUGCAUUUAUUUGCUAUAGUGGCAUCCUCUUUUAUUGGAGCUUGGACAAAUAGCUGUUUGUCUGCCUGUGACUAAUGCAAAUCUUAACAUUUGUCUUAAGCAAAAUAUAAUAAUCUGCUUGUUUCAGACAGAAUUUGCGGCUGGGUGCUCUGAACUUAUGCAAGCUUCACUCCAUUAAGUCUGGAUGCUUGGAGACUGCAGCAGAAGGUUCAGCAGGAAGGAUCCAAUAAGGAAAACAAAUAUUUAUUUUUUGCAAGAGUGACCAUAAAAAGGAGGCGGG
rnacentral:lncRNA from 1 species